GCCGGGAUGGUGGAACUGGUAGACACGCACGUUUGAGGGGCGUGUGGCGAGAGCCUUACGGGUUCAAGUCCCGUUCCCGGCA
rnacentral:tRNA from 1 species